UGCAAGUCGAACGCACUCUCGUUUAGAUUGAAGGAGCUUGCUCCUGAUUGAUAAACAUUUGAGUGAGUGGCGGACGGGUGAGUAACACGUGGGUAACCUGCCCUAAAGUGGGGGAUAACAUUUGGAAACAGAUGCUAAUACCGCAUAAAACCUAACACCGCAUGGUGUAGGGUUGAAAGAUGGUUUCGGCUAUCACUUUAGGAUGGACCCGCGGUGCAUUAGUUAGUUGGUGAGGUAAAGGCUCACCAAGACCGUGAUGCAUAGCCGACCUGAGAGGGUAAUCGGCCACACUGGGACUGAGACACGGCCCAGACUCCUACGGGAGGCAGCAGUAGGGAAUCUUCCACAAUGGACGAAAGUCUGAUGGAGCAACGCCGCGUGAGUGAAGAAGGUUUUCGGAUCGUAAAACUCUGUUGUUGGAGAAGAAUGUAUCUGAUAGUAACUGAUCAGGUAGUGACGGUAUCCAACCAGAAAGCCACGGCUAACUACGUGCCAGCAGCCGCGGUAAUACGUAGGUGGCAAGCGUUGUCCGGAUUUAUUGGGCGUAAAGCGAGCGCAGGCGGUUUCUUAAGUCUGAUGUGAAAGCCUUCGGCUCAACCGAAGAAGUGCAUCGGAAACUGGGAAACUUGAGUGCAGAAGAGGACAGUGGACUCCAUGUGUAGCGGUGAAAUGCGUAGAUAUAUGGAAGACCACCAGUGGCGAAGGCGGCUGUCUG
rnacentral:rRNA from 1 species